GGAGGCGUGGCAGAGCGGUCGAAUGCAGCACACUGCUAAUGUGUUGACCGGGAAACCGGUCCGGAGGUUCGAAUCCUCCCGCCUCCGCAA
rnacentral:tRNA from 1 species